rnacentral:rRNA from 1 species
CAAUAGCGUAUAUUAAAGUUGUUGCGGUAAAAAAGCUCGUAGUUGGAUUUCUACCGAAGAUAGCCGGUCGGGUCUUCGACCUUGUAUCUGGUUUUGUCUUUGGUAUCCUCAUAGGGAACGUUUCUGCGCUUUAUUGCGUGGUGCGGUAUCUAUGACUUUUACUUUGAGGAAAUUAGAGUGUUCACGGCAGGCAAACGCCUUGAAUAUAUUAGCAUGGAAUAAUAACAUAGGACCUUCGUCCUAUUUUGUUGGUUUCUAGGGCUAAGAUAAUGAUUAAUAGGGAUAAUUGGGGGCAUCUGUAUCAACGCGUCAGAGGUGGAAUUCUUGGAUUGCGUUGCGACAAACUACUGCGAAAGCAUUUGCCAAGGAUGUUUUCAUUGA